rnacentral:rRNA from 1 species
GACGAACGCUGGCGGCGUGCUUAACACAUGCAAGUCGAACGGAAAGGCCCCUUUGGGGGUACUCGAGUGGCGCACGGGUGAGUAACACGUGAGUAACCUGCCCUUGCCUUCGGGAUAACUUCAGGAAACUGGGGCUAAUACCGGAUAGGAAUCCUUGCUGCAUGGUGGGGGUUGGAAAGCUUCGGCGGUUUUGGAUGGACUCGCGGCUUAUCAGCUUGUUGGUGGGGUAGUGGCUUACCAAGGCUUUGACGGGUAGCCGGCCUGAGAGGGCGACCGGCCACAUUGGGACUGAGAUACGGCCCAGGAUCCUACGGGAGGCAGGAGUGGGGAAUAUUGCACAAUGGGCGGAAGGCUGAUGCAGCAACGCCGCGUGCGGGAUGACGGCCUUCGGGUUGGAAACCGCUUUCAGCAGGGGCGAAGCUUGUGGUGACGGUACCUGCAGAAGAAGCACCGGCUAACUACGUG